CAGCCCUCCACACCCCCAGGUGCCAGGUCCCCAGGCCUCACCAGAGGUCCCACUGUGCCCACGCCUCCACCCAGGGCACGGCAAUGCACCCCGAACAGGAGCAGCAUUUGACACCAUGUUGUGAAAUGAAACGCUGACAGGGGAGGACAGGGACUCCUUGGAUGUGCACCACAAGUGGGGAACAGCACUUGGCUUCAUCACAGGGCAGGGACCCCGGGUGUGUGGUGGGAAAUGGAAAUCAGAGGAGUGAAUGCAGGUCAUGCAGGAGCUGGGGGAAGCAGCACCACUGCACGUGGGACAUUGGGACACACAGAUCUCUGCCCGCUCUGUGCUGGGCCACGUUGAUACCCCAUGGCCAUGGGACACAGCAGAUGGGUCAGCAGGGAGCGUAGCACACUUUGCCCUGGUAAUUAGGACGGGCGGGGCCAGCUAAUUGCCUGCACACCCAGUGCUGUGGGGCGGGAGGUGCUGCACAUCCCUGACCUCGAUGCAAUGCUGUCCAAUGUGGGGCGAGGGCACAGCUGGGAGCACCGCCCGGGCCACGCUCUGAGCCAUCUCGUUGUGUCACAUUGCAUUGUGUUGUGCUGUGUGGCGUUGUGUCACAUCACGUUGUGUUCCACUGCGUUGUGUCAAGUUGUGCUGUCCUGUGUUGUGUUCCAUACUCGUUGUGUUGUGUUGUGUUGUGUUGUGUUGUGUUGUGUUGCACUGCGUCGUCUUCUGUUGUGUUGUGUUCUAUGUGUUGUCUUCUGUUGUGUUGCAUUGUGAUCUGUUGCACUGUGCUGUGCUCCACUGAGUUCUGUUGUGUUGUGUUGCACAGAGUUGUGUUGUGUUGUGUUGUGUUCCACUGCGUUGUGUUGUAUUGAGUUCUGUUGCACUGUGUUGCAUUGCAUUGUGUUCUAUGUGUUGUGUUCCGUCAUGGUGCAUUGCAUUCUGUUGUUAUGUUCUAUUGUGUUGUGUUAGUGUGCUGGGUUGCACUGACAACCCCACAACCCCACAGUCCUGCAGACCUGUGCCCCCAGUGCCCCCAUUGGCCCCAUUGCCCCCAUUGGCCCUAUUGCCCCCAGAGCCCCAUUGCUCCCAGUGUCCUCAGUGCUUCCAGUGCCCCAUUGUCCCCAGUGCCCCCACUGCUCCCGCAGCCCCACUGCUCCCAGUGUCCCCACUGCCCCCCCCAGUGUUUCCAGUGCCCCCACUGCUCCCAGUUCCCCAUUGCUCCCAGUGCCCCAAUGCUCCCAGUGCCCCCACUGCUCCUGCAGCCCCAUUGCUCCCAGUGCCCCCAGUGCUCUCAGUGUCUCUGUUGCCCUCACAGCUCCCAGUGCCCCCAAUGCUCCCAGUGCUCCCAGUGCCCCCAGUCCCUCUCCCUCCUCCCCGUCCCUCCCCGCACGGCCGCGCCGCAUCCACGGACGCGCAGUGCCCUCUGCCGGGGCCACGCGGCCGCCGCCGGAGCCUCUCGGUUGCCACGGAAACGGGGCCGUCCCCAACAGAGAUGGCACUCCGCUCUCCCUGCGUCCUGCAUCGUGCAUUGUACACGCUGCGCUGUGCAUUGUGCACGGGGAGCUCUGACACGGUGCCCUUCCCGGAGCUGCCAAGCAGGGUCGCACGGCGCCUCCCGGGCUCUCCCAUCAGCACAGCGGACUCGUUUCCUUUUAAGCACUGAAUGUGCUGAUCGGCAGCGGGGAGAUGAGCUCCGAGCACAGGGCGGGGGUGGGGGGGAACUGUCCUUUGGUUCUUCCAGAGCAGCUCCGCUCCAGCGCGGCUGCAUGCCGGCAGUGGGGACAGGAGCACAAUGAGCAGCGCUCUGCCCUCUGCAAUCUCCCCUGGGCGGUGCAAGCAGCUGCAGGCAGCACGGCGUGCGGGCCAUGCAUAGCACUGCAGGCGGUGCACGGCAUAGGUGGCACACAGUGCACGCAGAGCAGGACACAGUUCAUGGCGCUGCGGGCACUGCAGGGAGAGCCAUGCGCAGUGCUGCAGGUAGAGAACGGUGCUGCAGGGAAUGCACGGUGCUGCGGGCAGUGCACGGUGCUGUGGGCAGUGCCCUGCGGAUGCACCGUGCUGCAGCACUGCACGGAAUCUCUCUCCUGACUCCUCCUCGCAGCUCGGGGCUGUUGCACAUUUGUUCCACUCACGAAACCCCAAUUGCUGUGUUGAUGAGGAAGUAAGAAGGUACCCUGUGGAACAAGGGGAGGUGUGCUGAGGAGGUGGAGAUGCUGAGUGCCUUCUUUGGUACAGUUCUCACUUCCAAGACCACCCUCUUGGGACCCCGGGGGGAACAGGGAGAGUCCAGGAAUGGAGAGCUGCCCUCUGGGUGAGGGGGGGGUCCUGGAGCUGCUGGGUGGGAGCAGUAUGCAGAUCUGCAGAAAGGGUAGGAAGGAGGAUCCAGGAAACCGCAGGCAGUCAGCCUCACCUCUGUGCCUGGAAAGGCCAUGGAGCAGCGUGUUCUGGGUGCCAUCUCCAGGCAAUUGGAGGAGAAGGUCAUCAGGAGCAGUCAGCAUGGGUUCACCAAGGGGAAAUCGAGCUUGACCAACCUCGUAGCCUUCUAUGAUGGCAUCACCAGCCGGGUAGGUGCGGGGGGAGGAGUGGAUGUCAUCUGCAAGGCUUUUGGUGCAAGUGGAUGUCAGCAAGGCUUUUGGUGUUAUCUCCCAUGGCAUCCUGAUAACAGAGCUGAGAAGGCCUGGAGCAUCUCCCUGUGGGGGAAGGCUGCGUGACGUGGAGCUGCUCGGCCUGGGGAAGACUGAGAAAGAAUGUGAUUAGUGCUUAUAAAUAUAUUCAGUGUGGGAGACAAAGGGACAUGGCCAACCUCAUCUCAGUGGUCUGUGGGGACAGGACAAGGGGAAACGGCCACACACUGGAGCACAGGAAGUUCCGCACCAAAAUGUGAAGGAACUUCUUCAUGGCGAGGGUGAUGGAGCACUGGGAUGGGCUGCCCAGGGAGGUGUGGGGUCUCCUUCAAUGGAAGUAUUCAGGACCCGCCUGCAUGCUGAGCUGUGCAGCCUGCUGUGGGAGCAGCUCCCCCCAGGGCGAUGUCCCAGCCCCCCUAAGUCCUGCCCUGUUUGAUCACUGCCUUUAUUUACUGUCUAUUGUGGGGGCAAAGGCAAAUGCAAGUUGUGCUUUGCUUUGAGGACUGAUCCUGUUGGUUUUUCCUAAGGGCAUUCCAUGCACUGUGGCCUGCUGACUGGGUCCCACAGGUCGGCUGCAGGCCAGCCAGAAGCUGCUUGGCCCUGGGCAGGACCCUAAAUAUUGCAGAGGCUGCACCAAGUGUGGCACUGCAGCCAGGACAGCAUUAGCACAGCCACUGUGCUGCAUCCUGCCACCAGCAGAUGGAGGUCAGCCAUCCAUCCCUGCCAUGCAGAAGUGGGCAUUAACUUCCCCAGAGGGAAAGAGAGAAGCAUAACAAACGAGCUGAGAUGUCUCAGACCAUCCUGCAAGGGUCCCAUCCCAUCUCAUCCUAUCACACCCAAUCUCAUCCCACCCCCAUCCCCAUUCCAGCCCAUCCCAUCUCAUCCUAUCCCAUCCCCAUUCCCACCCCCACCCUCAUUCCCAUCCCUAUACCCAUCUCUAUCCCACCCCAUCCCAUCCCAUCC
ensembl:lncRNA